AUGUCUAAUGGAUCUAGUAGAAAAAAUAUGUAUAGUGAAUUCGAAUAUAUAUACACAUCGAAGACAGGCGACAGGCGACAAGCGACAGGCAAGUAACAGGCGACAGAUAACAGGAAACAGGUAACAAGCAACAGGCAACACUCAAGUUUCCAGUAACGUCCGCGCUUACAUCCGUGCCGAUGAAUGAUUCAAGCAGGCAAAGCCGGCCUGCUUUCUCUCGUUAUAUUUACGAAAUGUAUUUGAGCAAAAGAUUCGUGUCUCUCCGCUAGUACGUUGCUGCGUUACCUUACCUCUUACGCAAUACGUAACCUCCGUUUACAGAACUAGAAAUUUCUCAUAUUGAAACUACCACUACACUUUGGUAAGCAAUUUCUCGUUUAGUUUUUUUAUAUUUUGUUCGAAAUAACACGAAAGAAACAGAAAUAUGCAUAGAGCUAGACAGAGUUUGUUAGAAGAUAUUAGAGACGAUAGUAAAUAUGUUAUUUCUAAAUGAUCACAAACCGAAUAGCACUUUUUGUGUUGUUGUAGGUUAUUAAUAUAAUAAUGUCAAAUAUAAUAACAACUAUAGAAGCGUAAUAUGA